UACGGGGGGAGCAAUCGUUGUUCGGAUUUACUGGGCGUAAAGGGCGCGUAGGCGGCCACCGCAAGUCGACUGUGAAAUCUCCGGGCUUAACCCGGAACGGUCAGCCGAUACUGCGGGGCUAGAGUGCAGAAGGGGCAACUGGAAUUCUCGGUGUAGCGGUGAAAUGCGUAGAUAUCGAGAGGAACACCUGCGGCGAAGGCGGGUUGCUGGGCUGACACUGACGCUGAUGCGCGAAAGCUAGGGGAGCGAACGGG
rnacentral:rRNA from 1 species